UACAGAGGUCUCAAGCGUUGUUCGGAUUCAUUGGGCGUAAAGGGUGCGUAGGCGGCGCGGUAAGUCGGGUGUGAAAUCUCGGAGCUUAACUCUGAAACUGCAUUCGAUACUGCCGUGCUUGAGGACUGGAGAGGAGACUGGAAUUUACGGUGUAGCGGUGAAAUGCGUAGAUAUCGUAAGGAAGACCAGUGGCGAAGGCGGGUCUCUGGACGGUUCCUGACGCUGAGGCACGAAGGCCAGGGGAGCAAACGGG
rnacentral:rRNA from 1 species